UACGUAGGGGCAAGCGUUGUCCGGAUUUAUUGGGGCGUAAAGAGCGUGUAGGCGGCUUGGUAGGUCUUGCGUCAAAACCCUGAGGGCUCAACCUCGAAGUUCGCGGUGGGAAACCACCUAGCUAGGAGUCCGGAAGAGGAGAACGGAAUUCCCAGUGUAGCGGUGAAAUGCGCAGAUAUUGGGGAAGAACACCAGUGGCGAAGGCGGUUCUCUGGGACGUGACUGACGCUGAGACGGCGAAAAGCGUGGGGAGCAACAGG
rnacentral:rRNA from 1 species